UACGAAGGGGGCUAGCGUUGCUCGGAAUCACUGGGCGUAAAGGGUGCGUAGGCGGGUCUUUAAGUCAGGGGUGAAAUCCUGGAGCUCAACUCCAGAACUGCCUUUGAUACUGAAGAUCUUGAGUUCGGGAGAGGUGAGUGGAACUGCGAUUGUAGAGGUGAAAUUCGUAGAUAUUCGCAAGAACACCAGUGGCGAAGGCGGCUCACUGGCCCGAUACUGACGCUGAUGCACGAAAGCGUGGGGAGCAAACAGG
rnacentral:rRNA from 1 species